rnacentral:rRNA from 1 species
ACUAUCAGCUUUAGCAACACUUACACAUGCAAGUAUCCGCACCCCAGUGAAAAUGCCCCCCGCCUUCUUAAAGAAGACAAGGAGCUGGUAUCAGGCACGCACAGCAGCCCAUGACACCUUGCUAAGCCACACCCCCAAGGGAACUCAGCAGUGAUAAACAUUAAGCAAUAAGUGAAAACUUGACUUAGUAAAAGCUAAUAAGGGUCGGUUAAACUCGUGCCAGCCACCGCGGUUAUACGAGAGACCCAAGUUGAUAAAAUACGGCGUAAAGCGUGGUUAAAAGCCCCCACUAAACUAAGACUAAACCUUUCCAAAGCUGUUAUACGCACCCGGAAAUAUGAAACUCAACUACGAAAGUGGCCUUAAUUUCCCCUUGACCCCACGAAAGCUGCGAAACAAACUGGGAUUAGAUACCCCACUAUGCACAGCCAUAAACUUUGAUAGAAAACUACAAAUUCUAUCCGCCCGGGAACUACGAGCAUAAGCUUAAAACCCAAAGGACUUGGCGGUGCUUUAGACCCCU